CAAUUACAAAGAAGGGGGAGGGAAGCCCACUCCAGCAGUUAAGGGGUCACAGAAGUCCAGUGGAGUUAGCUCAACACGUCCAGAUUGGUGACACCAUCGAAGCCUCCGAUAGCCAGUAAUGCAUCAUUGAAGACCACAAGGGACAUCUGAUGUAGUGUACACAGAGAGAGUCCACCUCAUGGUGUCGGGAUCAAACCUCUCAGCAACAGAGAGCUCCAGGUUGAGCUCGUCUUUGCCACCGG